rnacentral:rRNA from 1 species
CUACGUGCCAGCAGCCGCGGUAAUACGUAGGUGGCAAGCGUUGUCCGGAAUUAUUGGGCGUAAAGCGCGCGCAGGCGGAUUGGUCAGUCUGUCUUAAAAGUUCGGGGCUUAACCCCGUGAUGGGAUGGAAACUGCCAAUCUAGAGUAUCGGAGAGGAAAGUGGAGUUCCUAGUGUAGCGGUGAAAUGCGUAGAUAUCAGGAAGAACACCAGUGGCGAAGGCGACUUUCUGGACGAAAACUGACGCUGAGGCGCGAAAGCCAGGGGAGCGAACGGGAUUAGAUACCCCGGUAGUCCUGGCCGUAAACGAUGGGUACUAGGUGUAGGAGGUAUCGACCCCUUCUGUGCCGGAGUUAACGCAAUAAGUACCCCGCCUGGGGAGUACGACCGCAAGGUUGAAACUCAAAGGAAUUGACGGGGGCCCGCACAAGCAGCGGAGCAUGUGGUUUAAUUCGAAGCAACGCGAAGAACCUUACCAGGGCU